AGCGAACGCUGGCGGCAGGCUUAACACAUGCAAGUCGAGGGGCAGCAGGGUGUAGCAAUACAUCGCUGGCGACCGGCAAACGGGUGCGGAACACGUACGCAACCUUCCUUCAAGCGAGGAAUAGCCCAGGGAAACUUGGAUUAAUACCUCGUAACAUUAUGAAGUGGCAUCACUUUAUAAUUAAAGCUCAGGCGCUUGAAGAUGGGCGUGCGACUGAUAGGUAGUUGGCGGAGUAACAGCCCACCAAGCCUGCGAUCAGUAACUGGUGUGAGAGCACGACCAGUCACACGGGCACUGAGACACGGGCCCGACUCCUACGGGAGGCAGCAGUAAGGAAUAUUGGACAAUGGGCNCAAGCCUGAUCCAGCCAUUCCGCGUGCAGGAUG
rnacentral:rRNA from 1 species